rnacentral:lncRNA from 10 species
CCAUUUAGAAUCAAAAGAAGAUGGAGCAGAGCAAGGAGUCCAGGCACAAGUCAUGGUACCUUUGGUUGUAGCAUCAGGAUCCUCAGUGGCAGACAUUGCUCCAGGGACCCAGACCUGAGCAGGAGAGGAUGAAAGUGGUCCCUGUUCAGGUGGUUGCUGAGAAAAAGCACAGGACCUGCAGUCUUCAUCUCUGGAGAGCAUUCCCAACAACAAGUAAUGCUUACCUGCAAAUUGGAAUGCACCAGAGUCCUAUUUAAAGGCCAGCCUCACUGACUGACUGGCAGAAUGAACGGGGAGAAUGUAUGCUUUAUGCUCAUACAGCUUCUUGAAAAAAUGGACUGUGUAGAGUCAAGUUAUUAUUAUAGUUAUUUUCAUUUAUUUGUCAAGUGCCAAGGAAUGCACUUGACAAAGCAAAAAGAGGAAGCUCAAGACAAUAUGUGUGUCCCCUAGAUAAUGUUGUUCCAGGAAAAUAAAGUUUAUUCAUCCUCAAGGCAGAUGUAUGCAUUUUUUAAUCAACUGAGUAUUCCAUGAAGUUCUUUCCAUAAUUUUUAGCACAUAAAACUUUUCUCGAUUGAAAUCAUUGAUUGUCCUUAUCAACCCAAUAUAAAAUAAAGUAAAUGUUUGUUCUUCAGAGAGGAUUCCUCCUGUAAAAACUUCCAGAAUCACAAAAAUGAUAUUGUCUAUUCACUCCUGUCAUUUUUGAAAGUAAUAUUUCCUUCAAGAUACACAUGCCUCCUACACAAAUUGUCUUUGCAAAUGUUACUAAGUCUUUCUCUCUCACUUGAUGAGAGAAAGAGAGAACAUCUGUCUUUCUCCAGAUGCCCUUUCUAGAACAUGCCCUGAAACAGUCAUACUAAUUCUAUCUGAAUUUAUUUAAAUAAACACUGAUACGGCACCAUGUCCCUGACACUUCUAUAGGUUAGUGCAAAAGUAAUUGCAGUUUUUGCCUUGUUGGAAUUUGCCAUUUGAUAUUGGAAUACAUUAUUAAAUAAAUGUGGUUUUGUUAUACAUCA